UUUUUUUAUUUUUUUAAUAAAAUGGUAAUGUUACAUUAUGGAGAUAAGCCGUUUUUUUAAGUGUAAAAUGGUAAUAUUACAUAUGUUUAAUGUAGUAUUUUCAUUUUUUUAUCUUGUAUGUUUACAUAUUAUUUAUUAUUUUUAAAAUUAUAUAUAAUGUUUUUUUUACAAAAUAGUAAUGUUACAUUAUGGAGAUAAGACGUCUUUUUUUUAGUGAAAAAUGGUAGUCUUACAUAUGUUUAAUGUAGUUUUUCCAUUUUUUAUAUUGUAUGUUUACAUAUUAUUUAUUUAAAAUAAAAAUGUAAAAUGGUAAUCGUACAUAUGUUUAAUGUAGUAUUUCUAUUUUUUAUGUUGUAUGUUUACAUUAUAUUUAUUAUUUUCCAAAUUAUAUAUAAUGUUUUUUAUUUUUUUUAUAAAACGGUAAAGUUACAUUAUGGAGAUAAGCCGUCUUUUUUUCAAGUGAAAAACUAUAAUCUUACAUAUGUUUAAUGUAGUUUUUCCAUUUUUUUAUGCUGUAUGUUUACAUAUUAUUUAUAAUUUUCGAAAAUUAGUAAUAUUAAAAUGUAAAACUAUAUUUUAUGCCAUGUGUCAUCUUACGGGAGAAGUUUUUUUUGCUGAUGUGGACGCUUUAUGGAGCCUCAAAAGGUCCUUUUUAUUAGUAAGGAUUCUAUUUCUUAUACUUUAUAUUUAGUUAAUAUCUAUAUUUUAUAUUUUAAGUCUUAAUGUAUUUUUCCAUUUUUAAUGUAAAAUGGUAAUAUUUAAUAGAAGAACUUGGACAAAUAGUCAAAUAGUUAUAUUUAUGUUUUUUUAUUUUUUUAUAAAAUGGUAAUGUUACAUUAUGGAGAUAAGCCGUUUUUUUAAGUGUAAAAUGGUAAUAUUACAUAUGUUUAAUGUAGUAUUUUCAUUUUUUUAUGUUGUAUGUUUACAUAUUAUUUAUUAUUUUUAAAAUUAUAUAUAAUGUUUUUUUAACAAAAUAGUAAUGUUACAUUAUGGAGAUAAGUCGUCUUUUUUUUAGUGAAAAAUUGUAGUCUUACAUAUGUUUAAUGUAGUUUUUCCAUUUUUUAUAUUGUAUGUUUACAUAUUAUUUAUUUAAAAUAAAAAUGUAAAAUGGUAAUCGUACAUAUGUUUAAUGUAGUAUUUCUAUUUUUUAUGUUGUAUGUUUACAUUAUAUUUAUUAUUUUCCAAAUUAUAUAUAAUGUUUUUUAUUUUUUUUAUAAAACGGUAAUGUUACAUUAUGAAGAUAAGCCGUCUUUUUUUCAAGUGAAAAAUUAUAAUCUUACAUAUGUUUAAUGUAGUUUUUCCAUUUUUUUAUGCUGUAUGUUUACAUAUUAUUUAUAAUUUUCGAAAAUUAGUAAUAUUAAAAUGUAAAACUAUAUUUUAUGCCAUGUGUCAUCUUACGGGAGAAGUUUUUUUUGCUGAUGUGGACGCUUUAUGGAGCCUCAAAAGGUCCUUUUUAUUAGUAAGGAUUCAAAAAAUAAUUUUGGAAGUCUAAU
rnacentral:lncRNA from 1 species